GUUCCUGCUUUUUCCUCUGUUUUGAUAUAGUAGUCGUUGUCAUAGAGCCAACUUUAUCAAAUGCAACCGUUAACAACUCGUCAGGAUCAAAAAGGUGAUGAGUGCUUCUCUGUAUGAUACUAAUUACAUCCCCAACAUGAUGUGCUACCAGCAACUUCUCUUCAUUCAUCUUGAAAAUUGCCAAUGCAACAUGAAAUAGAACCUUAGCACCUUCAUAGAAGAGGACAUCCCAUACUCGCAAGGUUGUCUCAGAAGGCAAACUUUUGGAGAAAAGGCAGAGAAACCACUCAGUGCAAACAAGAGAAACAUCAAAUUCUAGAGAAUCCAAAUGAGCUGCUAACCUUGGACAUUUUUUGGUUAAUAGGUCCUUGAAUACUCUUUGCUCAACAUGGCAUCCAGACAAGUUAUUAGUAUAACAAUCAUUAACCAAGACAUUCUCUAAAAGGACAGCAAGCAUCCAGAAAGCAUCUUCUUCAGUUUUUAGCACGAGCAACAAUAAUGCUGCAACAUAGUUCAAUCCCUGGCAAUAGCCUACAUCAGAAUCUCGGAAAGAAUAGGCGACAAGCACUCGCCUCAGAGCAGCAUGACCCUCAGAAGUGUCCAACCAGGGAUGACCAGGAAAGGUUCGUGGAAGGUCAUGAUCAAUCUGUUUGGUUGCAGGUGUGACCUUAUCCUCAACAGCCAUGGUCAUGUCUUGGUAAUAACUUUCCGGGACGGUUGAUUUCUUCUUAGCUGCACCUGAUAGUGAAAACCACACCUUAGGCCUCAACACAGGUGGGAUUCCUUUCCUAAUUAGUUUCUUGAGAGUAAUUGCAUUCACCAAAGCAGAGAAUUUGAGGGAUGUUUUAAGGGUUGAGGAAACAUGAGUUUGCAAAUACCAAUUAGCACCUUUG
rnacentral:misc_RNA from 1 species